rnacentral:rRNA from 1 species
AGAGCGAACGCUGGCGGCAGGCCUAACACAUGCAAGUCGAGCGCCCGUAGCAAUACGGGAGCGGCAGACGGGAUAGUAACACGUGGGAACGCGCCCUUCGGUUCGGAAUAACUCAGGGAAACUUGAGCUAAUACCGGAUACGCCCUUACGGGGAAAGAUUUAUUGCCGAAGGAACGGCCCGCGUCCGAUUAGCUAGUUGGUGAGGUAAUGGCUCACCAAGGCGACGAUCGGUAGCUGGUCUGAGAGGAUGACCAGCAUCACUGGGACUGAGACACGGCCCAGACUCCUACGGGAGGCAGCAGUGGGGAAUAUUGGACAAUGGGCGCAAGCCUGAUCCAGCCAUGCCGCGUGGAUGAUGAAGGCCUUAGGGUUGUAAAGUCCUUUUAACGGGGAAGAUAAUGACGGUACCCGUAGAACUAAGCCCCGGCUAACUUCGCGCCAGCAGCCGC